GCCGCUGUGGCACAAUGGUACUGCGUCAGUCUUGAGAACUGAUUUCCUCACGGAUAUCCCGGUUCGAUUCCGGGCAGCGGCG
rfam:Candidatus Pacearchaeota archaeon CG1_02_39_14 cg1_0.2_scaffold_331_c, whole genome shotgun sequence.